AGUGAACGCUGGCGGCGUGCUUAACACAUGCAAGUCGAACGAGAACGGAUUAUAGCUUGCUAUAAUUGUCAGCUAAGUGGCGCACGGGUGAGUAAUGUAUAGGUAAUAUGCCUCUUACUAAGGGAUAACAAAUGGAAACGUUUGCUAAUACCUUAUACUCCUUAUUAACAGAAGUUAAUAAGGGAAAGAUUUAUUGGUAAGAGAUUAGCCUGUAUUGUAUCAGUUAGUUGGUGGGGUAAUGGCUUACCAAGACUAUGACACAUAACUGGUUUGGGUGGAUGAUCAGUCACACUGGAACUGAGACACGGUCCAGACUACUACGGGAGGCAGCAGUGGGGAAUAUUGCACAAUGGACGAAAGUCUGAUGCAGCAACGCCGCGUGGAGGAUGACACAUUUCGGUGCGUAAACUCCUUUUAUAUGAGAAGAUAAUGACGGUAUUAUAUGAAUAAGCACCGGCUAACUCCGUGCCAGCAGCCGCCGCGG
rnacentral:rRNA from 1 species